GGAAUCUUCCGCAAUGGGCGAAAGCUUGACGGAGCAACGCCGCGUGAGUGAUGAAGGUCUUCGGAUCGUAAAACUCUGUUAUUAGGGAAGAACAAAUGUGUAAGUAACUAUGCACGUCUUGACGGUACCUAAUCAGAAAGCCACGGCUAACUACGUGCCAGCAGCCGCGGUAAUACGUAGGUGGCAAGCGUUAUCCGGAAUUAUUGGGCGUAAAGCGCGCGUAGGCGGUUUUUUAAGUCUGAUGUGAAAGCCCACGGCUCAACCGUGGAGGGUCAUUGGAAACUGGAAAACUUGAGUGCAGAAGAGGAAAGUGGAAUUCCAUGUGUAGCGGUGAAAUGCGCAGAGAUAUGGAGGAACACCAGUGGCGAAGGCGACUUUCUGGUCUGUAACUGACGCUGAUGUGCGAAAGCGUGGGGAUCAAACAGGA
rnacentral:misc_RNA from 1 species